ACGCCGAUGGUGAAAUGGUUAUCAUGCUUGCCUUACAAGCAAGCGGUGGGGGCUCGAUUCCCCCUCGGCGUA
rnacentral:tRNA from 1 species